rnacentral:rRNA from 1 species
CGGGACGGGUGAGUAACGCGUGGGUAACCUGCCUCGCACAGGGGGAUAGCAGUUGGAAACGACUGAUAAUACCGCAUAAGCGCACAGUACCGCAUGGUACAGUGUGAAAAACUCCGGUGGUGUGAGAUGGACCCGCGUCUGAUUAGCUUGUUGGCGGGGUAACGGCCCACCAAGGCAACGAUCAGUAGCCGACCUGAGAGGGUGACCGGCCACAUUGGGACUGAGACACGGCCCAG